GUGGGGAAUAUUGGACAAUGGGCGAAAGCCUGAUCCAGCCAUGCCGCGUGUGUGAAGAAGGUCUUCGGAUUGUAAAGCACUUUAAGUUGGGAGGAAGGGCAGUAAGUUAAUACCUUGCUGUUUUGACGUUACCGACAGAAUAAGCACCGGCUAACUUCGUGCCAGCAGCCGCGGUAAUACGAAGGGUGCAAGCGUUAAUCGGAAUUACUGGGCGUAAAGCGCGCGUAGGUGGUUUUGUAAGUUGGAGGUGAAAUCCCCGGGCUCAACCUGGGAACUGACUACAAAACUGCAUGACUAGAGUACGGUAGAGGGUAGUGGAAUUUCCUGUGUAGCGGUGAAAUGCGUAGAUAUAGGAAGGAACACCAGUGGCGAAGGCGACUACCUGGACUGAUACUGACACUGAGGUGCGAAAGCGUGGGGAGCAAACAGGAUUAGAUACCCGGGUAGUCC
rnacentral:rRNA from 1 species